AUCACUUACCAUUUUUCUUAUUUCCACUCCGCUUCUUAUCUCAUCAGCCCUUUGUUUUCCUGACUAAAUAGUGCUUGGAAGUAGGAAAAAGCUUGUCUGCAAAUUUCCCAUCAAUAAUAGAUAUUUGAGGACUCUAUAUAUUCUGAUCUAAGCAGAGAACAAAAGUCCUCACUCAGGCCUCAGGAAGCUAAGAGAGGAAGAAGAAGAAAUGUUGCUAGACAAGUUGUGGGACGACGUUGUUGCCGGGCCUCAGCCUGAUCGUGGCCUUGGCAAGCUCAGAAAGAUCAGCACCAAACCCCUGACCAUAGAUAAGGAAGGAGAGACGAGCAAGUUCCAGAGAUCCAUCUCCAUGCCAGCAAGUCCAGGGACACCUUCUACACCGUUGACGCCCACAACUCCUGCUUCGGUUCGCAAGGACAACGUAUGGAGGAGCGUUUUCAACCCUGGUAGCAACCUUGCUACUAAGGGUCUUGGAGCUCAGCUUUUUGACAAGCCACAGCCAAAUUCUCCUACUGUUUAUGACUGGUAUAUAAACUAAUUUCCAUGGUUGCUUCUGCACACGUACACAGUACUGUAUUAUUGUAUAGGUGUUCAUAAAAGAAGGAAGAAAGUAUGAGGUUUCUGGGUUCUUUGAAUCAUUUUUCCUUUUAGAUUUUCUUUUCUUUUCUUUGCAAGCAAACAUGAGGUGAGCGGGAUCUUGGCUCUAUACAUCUCGAGGUAUUUUCAGGUGUUAUAGUGGCGCGUGGGAAUAGCUCCUGAUCAUCUUUUGCAUUCAUGCAAGUAAUAAUGAGUAUAUGGUACACUAAUUUGUGCUUCAGUGGACUCAAGCCGUUAGAUUUGUUUACUUUUCUCAUCAGAUGGCUUGGAUCUACGUUAUUGGGUUUCAUUUUUCAUCCUUUGGUUCUAUCUACUUGGAUUUUAAAAAUGAGUUGAUAAUCACAGGCUUUACAGUGGAGAAACCAGAAGCAAGCAUCGCUGAGGCGGCAGUCAAAGAGGGUUGCCAUGUAAAUAUCGUCGUUUUGUUCCCUUAUCUGCGCUGAUCUUUGUCGUUUUAAUGUUGCUAUAUGAGCACUAUUCCUAUGGCUUCAAGCUGACCACAAGUAUUUUAGCUUUUGCGAGUAAAAUUGCUGAGGUAUGGAUUGUUGGAACGGUGGAUUGAUCUUCGCAAGUCAAGAUCUGCCGUGGACGGUGGUGAUGGAACCGCUUUUGUUAUUAAAUAAAUAAAUUGAAUAUUGUAAGCUUUUUUUUCUCAUUGAAUAAUUUUAUUGGACGUCAUCUUUAUCUAUUUGGUAUUAAUGUAAUUAUAUGUUAUUUUAGCUUACUGCUUAUCCAA
rnacentral:misc_RNA from 1 species